CGGCGCUAAUACCUCAUAAUGCAGCGGAUCCGCAUGGAUAUGUUGUUAAAGGUUUACCGCUUGGGAUAGGCUUGCGUCUGAUUAGCUAGUUGGUGUGGUAACGGCACACCAAGGCUACGAUCAGUAACUGGUCUGAGAGGAUGAUCAGUCACACUGGAACUGAGACACGGUCCAGACUCCUACGGGAGGCAGCAGUGAGGAAUAUUGGGCAAUGCCCGAAAGAGUGACCCAGCAACGCCGCGUGGAGGAUGAAGGUAUUCUAUAUCGUAAACUCCUGUGAGAGCAGACGAAAGACAGAUUAUUAAUCUGGAUGACUGUAUGCUCAGAGGAAGCCCCGGCUAACUACGUG
rnacentral:rRNA from 1 species